rnacentral:rRNA from 1 species
GCAAGUCGAGCGGACAGAUGGGAGCUUGCUCCCUGAUGUUAGCGGCGGACGGGUGAGUAACACGUGGGUAACCUGCCUGUAAGACUGGGAUAACUCCGGGAAACCGGGGCUAAUACCGGAUGGUUGUUUGAACCGCAUGGUUCAGACAUAAAAGGUGGCUUCGGCUACCACUUACAGAUGGACCCGCGGCGCAUUAGCUAGUUGGUG